rnacentral:lncRNA from 1 species
AGUGCUAAGUCAAUCCUUUUCUCUGGCUAGCAAAAGUUUGCAUGAUGUCUGGUGCAAUUGCUAGAAUUUCAAUAGUUAAGAAGUUUUUUUCUUUGUUGGUUCCGUCAGUUAAACGUUAUAGCAUAGUCUUUAAGCGCCUGGUUGAUUAACUAUCACCUGAUUGGGGCUAAGAAACCGUGUUUGUUUACACUGUUAUAUAUUGUUAGUUUGUAAUAAAUCCAUCAGAUUCAUCAGAGUUUUGAAAUUCUUUUGGUUUCAUAAUUCUUUUAUAUUGUGAAAUAACCAUCUUAUACUUUAGCAGCUAAAGAAAAAUUGUUCAUGGUUACUAAAUAAUAGAAUCUGCAUUAAUAAAAAAAAGGUAGAAACUCUAAUUAAUCGUAACAACAUUGAUAACAUUAUUGUAGUACUUAAUUACAAGGCCCCGCAAUAGCUGGUGGCUGAUUCUGCUGUGUAGCUCUGCUAAUUGGCAAUUUGCUCUCUCAGUUGUAUGAGCUCCA